AGAGUUUGAUCAUGGCUCAGAUUGAACGCUGGCGGCAUGCCUAACACAUGCAAGUCGAACGGAAACGACGAAAACAAUCCCUUCGGGGUGCGUCUUCGGGCGUCGAGUGGCGGACGGGUGCGUAACGCGUAGGAAUCUACCUUAUAGUGGGGGACAACUCGGGGAAACUCGAGCUAAUACCGCAUAAUCCUUACGAGGGAAAGCAGGGGAUCUUCGGACCUUGCGCUAUUAGAUGAGCCUGCGUCGGAUUAGCUAGUUGGUAGGGUAAUGGCCUACCAAGGCAACGAUCCGUAGCUGGUCUGAGAGGAUGAUCAGCCACACUGGGACUGAGACACGGCCCAGACUCCUACGGGAGGCAGCAGUGGGGAAUAUUGGACAAUGGGCGCAAGCCUGAUCCAGCAAUGCCGCGUGUGUGAAGAAGGCCUUAGGGUUGUAAAGCACUUUCAGGAGGGAAGAAAAGCACCAGAUUAAUAAUCUUGUGGCUUGACGGUACCUUCAGAAGAAGCACCGGCUAACUCCGUGCCAGCAGCCCCCGGUAAUACGGAGGGU
rnacentral:rRNA from 1 species